GAUGAACGCUGGCGGCGUGCCUAAUACAUGCAAGUCGAGCGAACGGACGAGAAGCUUGCUUUUCUGAUGUUAGCGGCGGACGGGUGAGUAACACGUGGAUAACCUACCUAUAAGACUGGGAUAACUUCGGGAAACCGGAGCUAAUACCGGAUAAUAUUUUGAACCGCAUGGUUCAAAAGUGAAAGACGGUCUUGCUGUCACUUAUAGAUGGAUCCGCGCUGCAUUAGCUAGUUGUUAAGGUAACGGCUUACCAAGGCAACGAUGCAUAGCCGACCUGAGAGGGUGAUAGCCCACACUGGAACUGAGACACGGUCCAGACUCCUACGGGAGGCAGCAGUAGGGAAUCUUCCGCAGUGGGCGAAAGCCUGACGGAGCAGCGCCGCGUGAGUGAUGAAGGUCUUCGGAUCGUAAAACUCUGUUAUUAGGGAAGAACAUAUGUGUAAGUAACUGUGCACAUCUUGACGGUACCUAAUCAGAAAGCCACGGCUAACUACGUG
rnacentral:rRNA from 1 species